rnacentral:rRNA from 1 species
UACGGAGGGUGCAAGCGUUAUCCGGAUUUACUGGGUUUAAAGGGUGCGUAGGCGGGCCAUUAAGUCAGUGGUGAAAGCUCCGAGCUUAACUCGGAAACUGCCAUUGAUACUGUUAAACUUGAAUUAUUAGGAAGUAACUAGAAUAUGUAGUGUAGCGGUGAAAUGCUUAGAGAUUACAUGGAAUACCAAUUGCGAAGGCAGGUUACUACUAAUGGAUUGACGCUGAUGGACGAAAGCGUGGGUAGCGAACAGG